rnacentral:rRNA from 1 species
CCUACGGGGGGCAGCAGUGGGGAAUAUUGCACAAUGGGCGCAAGCCUGAUGCAGCCAUGCCGCGUGUGUGAAGAAGGCCUUCGGGUUGUAAAGCACUUUCAGCGGGGAGGAAGGCGGUGAGGUUAAUAACCUCAUCGAUUGACGUUACCCGCAGAAGAAGCACCGGCUAACUCCGUGCCAGCAGCCGCGGUAAUACGGAGGGUGCAAGCGUUAAUCGGAAUUACUGGGCGUAAAGCGCACGCAGGCGGUCUGUCAAGUCGGAUGUGAAAUCCCCGGGCUCAACCUGGGAACUGCAUUCGAAACUGGCAGGCUAGAGUCUUGUAGAGGGGGGUAGAAUUCCAGGUGUAGCGGUGAAAUGCGUAGAGAUCUGGAGGAAUACCGGUGGCGAAGGCGGGCCCCUGGACAAAGACUGACGCUCAGGUGCGAAAGCGUGGGGAGCAAACAGGAUUAGAUACCCCUGUAGUC